rnacentral:rRNA from 1 species
AUUGAACGCAGGCGGCAUGCUUUACACAUGCAAGUCGAACGGCAGCGCGGGCUUCGGCCUGGCGGCGAGUGGCGAACGGGUGAGUAAUGCAUCGGAACGUGCCCAGUAGUGGGGGAUAGCCCGGCGAAAGCCGGAUUAAUACCGCAUACGACCUGAGGGUGAAAGCGGGGGACCGAAAGGCCUCGCGCUAUUGGAGCGGCCGAUGUCGGAUUAGCUAGUUGGUGGGGUAAAGGCUUACCAAGGCGACGAUCCGUAGCUGGUCUGAGAGGACGACCAGCCACACUGGGACUGAGACACGGCCCAGACUCCUACGGGAGGCAGCAGUGGGGAAUUUUGGACAAAGGGGGCAACCCUGAUCCAGCCAUGCCGCGUGCGGGAAGAAGGCCUUCGGGUUGUAAACCGCUUUUGUUCGGGAAGAAAUCCUCUGGGCUAAUACCCCGGGGGGAUGACGGUACCGGAAGAAUAAGCACCGGCUAACUACGUG